GAUGAACGCUGGCGGCGUGCCUAAUACAUGCAAGUCGAGCGAAUGGAUUAAGAGCUUGCUCUUAUGAAGUAGCGGCGGACGGGUGAGUAACACGUGGGUAACCUGCCCAUAAGACUGGGAUAACUCCGGGAAACCGGGGCUAAUACCGGAUAACAUUUUGAACCGCAUGGGUCGAAAUUGAAAGGCGGCUUCGGCUGUCACUUAUGGAUGGACCCGCGUCGCAUUAGCUAGUUGGUGAGGUAACGGCUCACCAAGGCAACGAUGCGUAGCCGAUCUGAGAGGGUGCUCGGCCACACUGGGACUGAGAAACGGCCCAGACUCCUACGGGAGGCAGCAGUAGGGAAUCUUCCGCAAUGGACGAAAGUCUGACGGAGCAACGCCGCGUGAGUGAUGAAGGCUUUCGGGUCGUAAAACUCUGUUGUUAGGGAAGAACAGGUGCUAGUUGAAUAAGCUGGCACCUUGACGGUACCUAACCAGAAAGCCACGGCUAACUACGUGCCAGCCGCCGCCGUAA
rnacentral:rRNA from 1 species